AUUGAACGCUGGCGGCAGGCCUAACACAUGCAAGUCGAACGAGUGGCGGACGGGUGAGUAAUGUCUGGGAAACUGCCCGAUGGAGGGGGAUAACUACUGGAACCGGUAGCUAAUCCCGCAUACCAUCGGAUGUGCCCAGAUGGGAUUAGCUAGUAGGUGGGGUAACGGCUCACCUAGGCGACGCUCCCUAGCUGGUCGGAGAGGAGGACGAGCGACACGGGAACUGAGACACGGUCCAGACUCCUACGGGAGGCAGCAGGGGGGAAUAUUGCACAAUGGGCGCAAGCCUGAUGCAGCCAGGCCGCGUGUAUGAAGAAGGCCGUCGGGUUGUAAAGUACUUUCAGCGAGGAGGCGGUACUCGCAGAAGAAGCACCGGCUAACUCCGUGCCAGCAGCCGCGGUAAUUC
rnacentral:rRNA from 1 species